UUCCAAAGAUAUUUUUAAUAUCAGAAAAAAAGUCAAUGACAAUGAUGAAAUAAUCUCACUGAAAAAAUCCUAUGUGAAAUAGCUUUCUUUAUAUUCAUAUUCAACAAUAUUUAUGGAGCACAUUUGACCCAGCAGGUCCCAUGGUAGGCCCUGGGGAUACAGACAUGACUCCCACCCUCAUGGAGGGAAAGUCAUCACAUAAGCAGACUCAUGAAAGUAAAUGGAGUGUGAAGCUGGGGAGCACAGAAGACACUGUGGUGAUGGUAGUGGUUUAGUCGCUCAGUCGUGUCCAGCUCUUGAGACCCAGUGGAUUGUAGCUCGCCAAGCUCCUCUCUCCAUGGGAUUUCCCAGGCAAGAACACUGGUGUGCGUUGCCAUUUCCUUCUCCAGAUCUUCCUGACCCAGGGCUUGAAACCACGUCUCCUGCGUUGCAGGCUGUAGGCCGCUUCUUUACUGCUGAGCCAUCAGGGAAGCCCAGAAGACAUUGUAGGGAAACAUAACUGGGGGCCUUCAAUAAGGGGGGGUCCCUGAGGAAACAAUGUUUGAUUUGACAUCAAUCCUUGAAAAAUAAUAUUUUCUUGUACAGAUAGCUUAUUUUUAUUGAUACAAAAUUGUGGUUUCUCACUAAUGUUAUAGAACUCACUUAGACUUUUGGAUAUUAUAUGAUAUAUACCCACCUAGGAGAAGGCAAUGGCACCCCACUCCAUGUUCUUGCCUGGAGAAUCCCAGGGACGGGGGAGCCUGGUGGGCUGCCAUCUAUGGGGUCGCACAGAGUCAGACAUGACUGAAGCGACUUAGCAGCAGCAGCAGCAUAUACAUACUAAGCUUCUCUAUUAAAAUAGUCUAGAAUUUAAACUUAGCAAGAAAAAAAAAAUCCCUUACUAUUUCAGACAAUCUUAUUUCACAAAAGCUAUCACUAAGAAAAACUUAAAAUAUUUUAUGAGAAUAUGAAGCUGCUAGUUUAACACAGCGUUAGUUUUAACAGGUAUUUGUUGAGCACUCGUAUUUCCCUGUAUUGUGCUUAACAUAAAAUGUGACAAUAUUUAGCUUGCUUGAUUUACUUAAGGACAGAAAUACAAUACAAUAAUUUCUAUAAUUUCUAAAUGUAGGCAGUUUAAGAAUAUAUUGAAUCUUUGGAUUACAAUUUCAUGUGGUAAGUUCAAAUACCUUUUUAAAUGUGAGAAACAGGAACAUAUUUUAGCAUAUAAUUAAACGUACUGAAUUCACAAAGAACCAGCAACUGGCUGGUACAAAAAAGAUUUUAUUGCUUAAAGACAAACAUAAACUUAUCACUAAAAGAAGAGAAUUAUAUUACAUAAUUGAGCUUGUAGGUACCACUGUAUGGUCAAGUAGCAAUAGAAUUAUCAAUGAGGCUUUCAUUUUUCAUCUGGAGAAAUAUGAUGAGGCUGGUUCCCUGGUAUUAAUUCAAGCUUUACAAAAUCCAAACGUAGUAUUUAGGAAACACAAAUCUUGCAUGGUAUUUACUAUAUAAUAAAUACAAUCUUAUAGCCAAAGCAGAAAUGCUUACAUGAAUAACUGAUUUGAACUAAACACUGUAAAUUCAUAAAUUUGCUUUUGUUCUAGCCUGAUGCAAAGACUAGUGGACCUUUAGUCUAACAGAAGUUUGUUUAUGUCUUCCUGGCUCCCUUUAUUUGAACAUGUCAAAUAGUUACAGAUAUUUAUUGAUAACCUAUUAUAACUACAUAAAAUACAAUCAUUCUAAGAAAAAGGAGAGUGAGAAAAUUGUUUUUCUUUUACUUUAAUCUCAGAUUGUGACAUAGACUUUGUGCCUAAAGGUUGACCUCUGACUCUCUUAAAUCCUCAUAUGUCUUUCGUCUAAAACAGAAUCAUUUGAUAAGAGCAUUAUUAAAUUUGUAUUUUCAGAUUCAUUUAUUAAUUCUGGUAGGAGUUAAUUAAGAGAUGUGUGUCACAGAUAUUCGCAUCUGAGUUCAUAUAUCUGAACGUCAAAGGCGAAUUUGAAACAAAGGAAAUGCAAGCUGUACUUCCAAGUGACUGGGCCCUUCUUGAAAUCCAGGAGCCAUGUGGGACCAGCCAGGGCCAAGAGUCACUUCCAAGCCUUGCAAGAUCUUU
rnacentral:lncRNA from 1 species